CUCUGAUUUGACUUGCAUGACCAGUACUCUUUAAAAAAAGUAUCUCAAGAUUAAUUAUUAAUGGAAAAAGGCUGAAAAUUCCUGGAAUUUAAUUGUUUAUUUUAGCUCAUUCUCCAACUAUCUCCAUGUAUAGAAUUUUAUGUUUUUACAAGCUUUAAAAAUGUCUCACUCAAUGCAUAAAUCCUCUGGAUCUCCUGAACAUAUAGUCCUCUUCCAGCACAUUUUUUCCUGGAAACCUCCAUCAAAAGCUCCCCCUCUGACCCUGUGUCCUCCAUAGAUUUAUGAGGAUCCAUCAGUGUAUAACUCCAUAUCAGGAUCACUAAGAGGAUUUGUUAAUAUAUAAGAAAGUAUUCCAAUAUGAAACACGAGGCUACAGAAUUUCAGAAAGAUCUUGUUCUUAAAGGUUGGAUGACAUAUAAGACAACUGGAAAAGAGGACAUAACAGAAUGAUCAGUGAGUACCAAACCCAAGUAUGUCCAUGAUCAACAAAAGUACAUGUACAAUUGGAUAGGAUGACCAGC
rnacentral:lncRNA from 1 species